AAAGAUUUAACAAAUACGGUAGGAGACAAAGUUAAUAUAAAAGUCAAUAUUUAGCUCCUUGACAAGUUUCAUUUUGAUGUAUGUUCCUUACCAUUUUAGAAAAUCUUUCACCUCUUUCGACAAAAAGAGGAAUCUGACCUAGAAUUGAGGAGAUGGACCUCAAGAGGCUUUGUAUACAAUUUUAAAGAUGAAUUAAUUAUG
rnacentral:lncRNA from 1 species